UCACAGUUUGCACUGGCAGUCUUGUUAGAGUUCCCGACAUGACUCGCUGGCAACUAACAACAGGGGUUGCGCUCGUUAUAGGACUUAACCUGACACCUCACGGCACGAGCUGACGACAACCAUGCAGCACCUUGCAAUCUGCCCGAAGGAAAGUCUGUUUCCAGACCUGUCAGACUGCAUUUAAGCCCUGGUAAGGUUCCUCGCGUAUCAUCGAAUUAAACCACAUGCUCCACCGCUUGUGCGGGCCCCCGUCAAUUCCUUUGAGUUUCAUUCUUGCGAACGUACUCCCCAGGUGGGUUACUUAUCACUUUCGCUUAGCCACUCAGGAUUGCUCCCGAACAGCUAGUAACCAUCGUUUACGGCGUAGACUAC
rnacentral:misc_RNA from 1 species